UGGGUCUCAUGCAGUGGGCGGAGCGCGAGCGCCGGGCUGUAACGGCCGGAGAGAGGCAAGAUGCAGUUUAUGCUGCUUUUUAGUCGUCAGGGGAAACUUCGAUUGCAAAAAUGGUAUGUCCCCCUCUCAGACAAAGAGAAGAAAAAAAUUACAAGAGAGCUUGUCCAGACUGUCCUGGCUCGCAAACCCAAGAUGUGCAGCUUUCUGGAGUGGAGAGACCUGAAGAUUGUAUAUAAAAGGUAUGCAAGUCUUUAUUUCUGCUGUGCUAUUGAAGACCAGGACAAUGAACUCAUAACCCUUGAGAUUAUUCAUCGUUAUGUUGAACUCCUAGACAAGUAUUUUGGAAGUGUCUGCGAACUUGACAUUAUCUUCAAUUUUGAGAAGGCUUAUUUUAUCCUGGAUGAGUUCUUGUUAGGAGGGGAGGUGCAGGAAACGUCAAAGAAGAAUGUUCUGAAAGCAAUUGAACAAGCUGAUCUGCUGCAGGAGAACCAAAAUGAAGACUGGGGAAGUUUGUCAGCAGACGAUAUCUUAUGAUUGAGAGAAAUCUUAGGCUAUUGGCCUGUUUUGGCCCCCAUCCAGAUCAUUGGAAGCUGAAACUCCUCGUAGCGUGCUGGAAGAAAUUGGACUCACUUAAAUGUCUCGUUAAACUGAAUGUUCCCACAAAAUUCUGAUCUAGAUUUCACUGCUUUAAUUGUGAUGUAUGGCUACUAUUGCAGGAAACUGUCUCUUGUUUUGUGUUUUGGUUAGCAGAAGUUGAACUUGCAAGCAUUUUUCAUUAUGUUAAGGUAAAAAGGGAAACAAUAUAUUUUUGAAAUCAGUAUUUGAGUUUGGAAUAUUUGGAGGCUUGGCUCAAAUUCAGUGGUUUGACAAAUGAAGACUUUUAAUUAAAUGACUAUUUAAGCAGUGCGGCUACUGGCAAUAUGUGACCUGAGCUGCACAUUAGCGGGUCUAUUUAAAACUUCAACAUUGUUCCUGUUUCAUUGGCUCGAGGAAUUGGACUUAGCUGAUUUUUGUCAGUUUCUGUGAAAUGCCAAGUUUACCCUCCUUUUUUUGCUAAAGUCAAUAUUCAUCUUUGGAUUUGUGAGUGCCACGUGAUUUUGUUCCUCACAUAUUCAAUCUCGUAUAUGCUCAAAAUCAAAAAGUUCAGAAUAUACCAAAGCAACCAGUGUUGACAACUAUUUUUUGUGUUUUGUUAAGCAAUUUAUUUUUAAAAUACAAUUGUCCUGCCUCCAUCUGUGGGCUUGAUCUAGUUUGUAUUUUUAAUAACUUCAGUCUGAUUUGUCUUUAAGGGUCACUUAUAUCAGUUUAGCAUGAGACAAUGUAAGGGAGAGGAGGAAAGGGAUUAUAGUAUACCACUGAACUAAAUCAUGUGAAAUGGAAAUUCAGUUUUCAUUGUGCUGGGAUAACUUUUGAUUAUAGGUCUGUUAGCUGCAGCUGUUAGGUCUGAUAGCCUCACUUCUGUUAUCUGGCAUUACUGCCUCAUCAGAAGUAUAAGGUUUCAGCCAUACUGAUGUUUACGUUUUUUUAAAAAACUAUAUACUGUGUUCAGUACAGAUGCAUAAUUUUGCUAUUCUGAUUAUGUAAAAAAAAGGAAGUAUUUCCAGUUUACAAAACAAGUAACAAGUAGUUUUCAAUGGUGGUGAAUAAUUUAGACUUCUUUUUUCAAAUCAUGUUUGCAUUUUUUUUUUAAACUGAACUUGGUCUUGUGAUGAUUUAUUUGAUGUUUUUCAUUUUCAAACAAACUUGUCCUUCAAGCCAAAUCAAGCUGUUCAACUGGUGUUAAAACAGGUGUCUCAAUUUUUAAUUUUAGUUGACUACUCAGUAGCUUAACUGAUUUGUGUUCUGCAAAAAAAAAUGUAGCAAGUUUUAGCUGUUUAAAUGCUGCUGACUAGCCAGUGCUGGUGUAAAGCUAGGUGGUUGUCCAGUGGUUUAAUGCCUUCAUUUUCCAUGAGUACAGGAGUGAAAGUAUUCCAUCAUCAAUGUACAAGACUGAAAAAUAAAUGUCCACACUAACAUGAAAAGAAAUCUGGUGUCCAUUUAAACUUGGGGACAUCCGCUGAAUUGUGGUUGAAAUAUACUUCACAGUACAUACAGAAAUCACAUUUUACAUUAAACUGGCUCAGUGAUUUUACACUCGGCCUGUGAUGUACAGUUACUGAUGCUAGUUGCAUAGUUUGUAAAUUUUCAGCUAACUACUAAUCUUUGGAGGAAUGGGUUCAAAGACAUUGGCCACUUGCUCAAUUACUUUUAACCCGAGUGAGCACAGACAAGAAUUUUAACACAAAGAAAAUAAAUUGAAUUUAUCAGCAGAAGGUAGACACCCAAAGUGAUGGUUCUGUAUCUGUAGGCCCCCUACUUUGACCAGGUGAUUGUGUCUCAAACUAUUAUUGGAAGAGUAUCACUUUUCAUUAAAAUGUGCAGUAUGGAAUGACUGGAUAUUGUGUAGCUAUAGCUCAUUAGUUAUAAUAGCAGUUGAUGCAUUCUCAGCAUAGAACUGACUGUAAAAAUGUCUACACUCAAAAUGACAAAUUAAAGAAGAAGCACCAUACUUUUUGUUUUCGAAGCAUUUCUAAUCAACCUAUUCAGGCAUGCCCUAAUAUGCCUUUUUGACAAGCGGUAUGUGAAGAUGGAGUCAUAGAGCAUGGAAACAGACCCUUCGGUCCAAACCAGUCCAUGUCGAACAUAAUUCCAAACUAAACUAGUCCCAACUGCCUGCUCCUGGUCCAUGUCUUCAACAAAAUCACACGUGCUUCUCCAAAUGUCUUUCAAACAUUGUAAUUGUACCCACAAUUGUACCACAACUUCCUCAGGAAGUUCAUUCCACAUAUGAACCACUUGCUUUUUAAAAAUAAAUGCUCCUCAUGUCUUUUAUAAAUCUCUCUCCUCUUACCUUAAAAACGUGCCCCCAGUCUUGAAAUCCUCCAUCCUAGGGAAAAGAUAACUACCAUUAACUCUAUCUAUACUCAUUAUUUUAUAAACUUUCUAUAAAGUCAUACCUCAAUUGCCUAAGCUCCAAUGAAAGAAGUCCCAGCCUAUCCAACCUUUCUGUACAACUGUAAGCUUCCAUUAUGGCAAUGUCCUGAUAAAUCUCUUCUGAACCCUCUCCAGCUUAAUAAUAGCCUUCCUGUAACUGGUUUGACCAGAAUGGAAUAAUAUUCCAGAAGAGGCCUCACCAAUGUCCAGUACAACUUCAACAUGAUUCCCCAAUUCCUAUACUGAAAGGACUGAGCAAUGAAGACAAGCAUGCCAAGUGCAUUUUUAAUCACCUUGUCUCUAUAUGUGACACAGCCUCCAAAGAAUUAUGUACCUGAACCCCUAGGCCCAUCUGUUCUCAUAACGGUAUCAUUAAUUGUGCAAACCCUACUCUAUUGUAUGAAAGUGCAAGAGCUCUCAUUUAUCUAGAUUGAGCUCCCAUCUGCCAUUUUUCAGCCCAUCUGAGAAAACCUUCACUGUCCACUAUGCCAAUUUUGGUGUCAUCUACAAGCUUACUAACCAUGCCUUCUGUACUCUCAUCCAAAUACUUUAUGUAAAUGACAAACAGAAGAGGACCAUCCCUGUGACAGGCCUCUAGGCCGGAGUUCAAAGCUCUGUAACCUACGUGCAACCACUUAAGAAAAACCUUGCACGAAGUCCAUCGUCCUCUGCCCUAUGUCAUCUGCUUAGGUUUAAAUGUACUGCUACUACCACUCAACAUCUGCCCUUGCACAGCAAAAAUUUGGGGGAACAUUAGUGGAGACACUAUAAUCACCACAAUUUGCUUUGUGUUGCUACAGUGAUCUGUUCACUUCUUGGAUAACUUACACCAUUCAUGGAGAGUUUCUGUGCCCCAGUUGGGUUUGCUGACGACCUUUGAGCACCUUAGCAAAGACAGGAGAUGUCAGAUUUUCCAAUGGUGUCUGGGCUCCAAGCCGGUGAUUGUCCAGUCUCUGGGGCAGCCAUUUUCCAAACCACAAUGUACAAGUGGCAAAGAUUUUUUUUCCCACUGGAGGAUUAUGUGGCUCACUGAUUUCAAAGGUAAGGGGAUAAACUAGGGGGCUUAUAGAUAGGUUACAACAUCUGUCAUCUGCUCAAUUAUAGACUCCAGUAAAUUGCUUUGGGUUACUGAACAUAAUUGGAAUGUUUGUUGAUCAAGUCAGUGUGGAUUUGUAAUAGGUAGGCAUAUGUAAUAGAAACACUUAAAAGAACUGAUGAAAGUAGACAAUGGAGGAAUAUGUGGGGCCGGAAGCUAAGAACAUAGAGCAGUACAGGCCCUUUGGCUAUUGAUGAUGUGCCAACCUUUAGCCUACUCUAAGAUCAAACUAACCUACAUACCGUAUAUUUUACUAUCAUCCAUGUGCCUAUACAAGAGUCUCUUUCUUGUCCCUAAUGUGUCUGACUCUACUGUCAUGACUGGCAGUGCAUUCCACACACCACCUAUUUCUGACAUCUCCCUAAACCUUCCUCCAAUCAUCUUAAAUUAUGCCCCCUCAUAAUAGCCAUAUCUGCCUUGGGAAAAAUGUCUCUGGCUAUCCACACUGUUGCCUCUCAUCAUCUUGUACACCUCUAUCAAGUCACCUCUCAUCCUCAUUCGCUCCAAUGAGAAAACCCCUAGAUCCCUCAACCUUCAUAAGACAUGCCCUCCAGUCCAGGCAGCAUCCUGGUAAAUCUCCUCUGCACCCUCUCUAAAGCUUCCACGACCUUCCUACAAUGAAGUGACCAAUAUUCCAAUUGUGGUCUAACCAGAGCUUUAUAGAAUUGCAUCAUAACCUCACAGCUCUUAAACUCAACCCCCUGCUAAUGAAAGCCAACACAAUACACCUUCUUCACAAUUAACAACCCUAUCAACUUGGGUAAUUUUUGAGGGAUUGAGGGACGUGUUCCUCCACACUGCCAAGAAUGCUGCUUUUAACUCUGUAAUCUGCAUUCAAAUCAACCUUACAAAAUGAAUCACUUCAGUUUUCCAGGUUGAACUCCACCUGCCACCUCACAUCCCAGCUCUGCAUCCUGUCAGUGUCCCAUUACAACUGACAACAGCCCUCCACACUAUCCACAACUCCUCCAACUUUCAUGUAAUUGGCACACUUAGUAACCCACCCUUCCACCUACUCAUCCAAGUAAUUUGCCUACCACCACUGUAAAACAGACUGGAAUUUCAAGGGUUAUCCCCUAUUCCCUUUCUUGAACAAGAGAUUGCCACCCUCUAAUUCGCUGGUACUAGUGGACAGUGAAGAUGCAAAGAUCUUCACCAAAGGCGCAGCAACCUCUUCCCGUAUAUCCUGUAUGGCCCAGGAGACUUUUCUGUCUUAAUGUUUUUCAAAAUUCACACAAUCCUCACAAACAAUAGGUCCUCUCACUAGUGAAUAUGAAGCAUAGUAUUCAUUAAUGACCUCUCACAUCUCCUCUGACUUCAAGCACAAGUUCUCUCCACUAUCCCUGAUCGGCUAUACUCUCACUCUGGUGCAUGGUGGCCCAGUGGUUAGUACUGGUGCCUCACAGCACAAGGGACCCAGGUUCAAUUCCACCCUCAGGCAAUAGUGUGGAGUUUGCAUAUUGUCCCUAUGCAUGUGCAGGUUUUGUCCCACAGUCCAAAAAUGUGUAUAUUAAGUAUAUUGGCUAUGCUAAAUCACGCAUUGUGUCCAGGCAUGUGCAGAGUCUGGGUGGGAUACUGUUUGGAUAGUUGGUGUGGACUUGAUGGGCUGAAUGUCCUGCUUCCACAAGGUAGGAAUUCUGUGUUUAAAAAAAAUGUAGUAGAAUGCAUUUCACUUUUCCAUGAGUUCAACUCUGAUGUUCAAGAAGUUCAGCCUUGCUUAGCACAAAGCCAUCAGUCUUGAAGAUUCACACCACCUCAUGAAAUGUGCCAUCUACAAAAUGUCUCACUGGUUAUGAAAAACAAAGAAGAGUGCAGAGGCUGGGCUUCAAGCAGCACCAGAUGUAUCUGAAAACAUUGUGGUAAAAGCACAACAUACUGCUUCUACUGUUUGACACACAAGUCAUCAAAGAUAUGUACUACUGCCAAUGGAUCAGAUUGAAACUCUGCAAUAUUGUCACAUUCAGCCAUGAAUGGUCUGGUUGCACGCCAAAGCUUGUUAACAGCACUUUCCAAACCUUUGUCUAUCACUAAAUAAAUGGCAGCAGAUACAUGAGACCAUCACCACCUAUUGAUCUGACUUGCUCUUGUAGCUACUAUAAGUAGUCCAGUUUCAAUGCAAUGGUAACCCCCAGGAUGUUGGCAAUGGGGGAAUUCAGCAAUGUUAAUAUAAUUAAAUGGGAUGAUGGUUAGGUUCUGUUUUACUGGAGACCGUCAUUGACUGGCAUAUGUGUGGCACAAUAUUACUUCCC